CCUUGGGUGAAUAAGAAUUGGGAGAGGAAAAUUAGUCACAUGCUAUUGCCAAGCUUCAGUUUGUGCAGACAUGUGUUUAUGUAUUGGUAUUAGAAACUCUAGUUAAUGAAGCUUCCAGAAAUGUUAUGAUGCUACAUGCAUUAAUUUUGCAAACAUACCUGCAUAUAUCAAAUAUGGGAGGGUCAGAUCUGACCAAGAUUCCACCCACUUUCUAGACCAGGUACUGUGCCAAAAUAGG